GCCUCGCUGGCUCAGUCAGACUGUAGAGCAUGAGAUUCUUGAUCUCAGUGUUGUGAGUUCAAGUCCCAUGUUGGGUG
rnacentral:tRNA from 1 species